rnacentral:rRNA from 1 species
AUUGAACGCUGGCGGCAUGCCUUACACAUGCAAGUCGAACGGCAGCAUGGAGAGCUUGCUCUCUGAUGGCGAGUGGCGAACGGGUGAGUAAAGCAUCGGAACGUACCGUGUAGUGGGGGAUAACGUAGCGAAAGUUACGCUAAUACCGCAUACGCACUGAGGUGGAAAGCAGGGGAUCGUAAGACCUUGCGCUAUACGAGCGGCCGAUGUUAGAUUAGCUAGUUGGUAGGGUAAAGGCCUACCAAGGCGACGAUCUGUAGCGGGUCUGAGAGGAUGAUCCGCCACACUGGGACUGAGACACGGCCCAGACUCCUACGGGAGGCAGCAGUGGGGAAUUUUGGACAAUGGGGGCAACCCUGAUCCAGCCAUGCCGCGUGAGUGAAGAAGGCCUUCGGGUUGUAAAGCUCUUUCGGCCGGGAAGAAAUCGCACAGGCUAAUACCCUGUGUGGAUGACGGUACCGGCAUAGGAAGCACCGGCUAACUACGUGCCAGCCGCCGCCGUAA